UAAAUGUAAAAACUGCAUUGCAUUCACAACAGAAUCUGGUUUUCUAGGGCAAACACAUGUGGAUGCAUAUAAAUAUCAAUAAUUAUAUGUCUGAGGAGAGUUUGUUUAAUUAAUAACUGCUUAAAAAUCAACAAAUGUACAUGUAAACACCAGAUGGGUGUAAUGAUUUUCACCGCCACCAGAUGGCACCAAACACUCAAUCCAACUUGAAGAAAGGUCAAAAACAAAUCUCAUGACUUAACGCGAGGUUUAAACUGGUUUUAGUUCGGUUUAAACACAAAGUAUUGCUCAAUAUAUUUGGAACUCAAAG